UACGAAGGGGGCUAGCGUUGUUCGGAAUCACUGGGCGUAAAGCGCACGUAGGCGGAUCUUUAAGUCAGAGGUGAAAGCCUGGAGCUCAACUCCAGAACUGCCUUUGAUACUGGGGAUCUCGAGUCCGGGGAGAGGUGAGUGGAACUGCGAGUGUAGAGGUGAAAAUUCGUAGAUAUUAGGAAGAACACCAGUGGCGAAGGCGGCUUACUGGUCCG
rnacentral:rRNA from 1 species